UAAGGAUUACAAGAGCCUAUCUUGCAUCUUCUGAACGCAAAUCAAAUACUUUUAUUAAGCUAAAUCCUU
rnacentral:tRNA from 1 species